UACGGAGGGUGCAAGCGUUAUCCGGAUUCACUGGGUUUAAAGGGUGCGUAGGUGGGCUGGUAAGUCCGUGGUGAAAUCUCCAAGCUUAACUUGGAAACUGCCGUGGAUACUAUUAGUCUUGAAUCUCGUGGAGGUAAGCGGAAUAUGUCAUGUAGCGGUGAAAUGCUUAGAUAUGACAUAGAACACCGAUAGCGAAGGCAGCUUGCUACACAGUUAUUGACACUGAGGCACGAAAGCGUGGGGAUCAAACAGG
rnacentral:rRNA from 1 species